UACGUAGGUGGCAAGCGUUGUCCGGAUUUACUGGGCGUAAAGAGCGCGCAGGCGGUCGUUCAAGUCGCGUGUGAAAGCCCCCGGCUCAACUGGGGAGGGUCACGCGAUACUGAUCGACUCGAAGGCAGGAGAGGGUAGUGGAAUUCCCGGUGUAGUGGUAGAAAUGCGUAGAUAUCGGGAGGAACACCAGUGGCGAAGGCGACUACCUGGCCUGUUCUUGACGCUGAGGCGCGAAAGCUAGGGGAGCAAACGGG
rnacentral:rRNA from 1 species